rnacentral:lncRNA from 1 species
GUCUGUGGGAGCACCCAGGAGAAAACCGUGUUCAGGCUGGAGGCAAUGCUGGAGAGGACGGCCGGGGUACAGAGCAAGGAGGCGGCCUUGGAAGAGGAGGCGGUGCUGAAGGUGGAAGACAUCAUGGCUGAGGUGGAGGUGGUGGUUGAGGUGGAGCCCGACGUGGGGUGGCAGAAGGAGGGCCAGCGGGCACAGCCUGGCCCUGGACCGAGCACACCGGGGCCGUCAAUGGACUCGCUGGAGGUCCUUCACUUGGAGCUGGGCUCCGUGAAUGCCCCAGGCCACAGAGCAUGCUCACCCCAGAAACACAAGGUGCUUAAGACGGGCUUCCCUCAGGUGGACAGGCCCACCCCUCAGCUCCAAAAACCACCACAGUUGUGGCGUUGCCUCCUCGCCAGACAGAACGAGAUGUCGGCGUGGGUCGGAAAGCAUGCGGAAGUCCUGCUUUGCUACGUGAUGGAUUUGCAGGUGGAGGAACUCAGCCAUCCCGGUUACCGGUGGCAGAUGAUUUCCUUUCAUCCCAACCUUUAUUUCCACAGUGAAAUCAUCAUGAAGGAGCACUGUGUUGGCAUCCUCGGCUACAGGGUGUCUCAUUCCACUGCAGUCCAGCGGUUCUGGGAUCACGAAGGUCAAGCCUCCAGCUGCAGGCAGUACACCUCCUACCUGAGCUCAUUCAGCUGUUUGGCUGAACAUGACUGCCCGGGUUUUGGCAGGAUUGCUGAGAUCAUCAGCCAGGGCCUAUGGCUCAAUCCAUUGCAGUUCUAU